ACGGACCGCUAAGAACGGUAACCAGCUUCUAAAGAAAGCGAAAAAGGGACACAGGUACGAUAUUAUCGUCUCCCCCUCUUGGAUUAAGGAUGUAUUUUUUUCCUCUUGUAUGGUGAUGUGAAGCUGCUCGUUUAAACUAACAAACAGACAAAGAACACAAGUGUUUACAUGAGAAGAACUGCGCGAUAAUACAAUCUCUUUAAACAACAACAAAAAAAAAAGACUAUGAUAACGAGUAAUACGCAAGUAGUAACAGAGCACCAGCGCCUUUCAGUUUCUCAUGGUACAGAUAUGCUGAGUGUGAACACACCAUUAUUUGUUCUCUAAGCUAUUAUAUACAAAAAACAAAAACAUUAAGCGUGAAAAAGACGCAGGCGCGUCUGCACCGCGAAACCGUGAUUCAAGUAUAUGAUAUAACUUCUAACAAUUCUAUUAUGCGCCGUCUAUGAAGAUAUAAGAUGUAUGUAUUUUAGAUUAUUAUUAUAUAUGAUUAACUUGCAGAGACGCAUACACAUACACAUAUACUACACAACACUCGGUUGUAUUAUUUGUUUGACGAAAUGGUACGAAGACAUAGGCAAAGCUGCAUUAGCUAUUUUUAGAAACAAUAACUAUUUUCUUUCAUUUUUUUUUUCUCACGUCGUCUUACAAUCAAAAUUCAGCACCGUAGCUUAUGACACCAGUAUGUUUUAUUCUUUUUCGUUUUGUCCGGAAUUCUUUCCAAAACAAUUACUAAAAUCUUUGCUAACAGGAUAUGUAUGCUAAUUAUUAUUUUCUUUUUUUUUUCUCUUCUUUUUUCAUUGAGGAAUACUUUACAGUGUAUAGGGGUAAACUUUAAGUAUGUUUGCAUAUAUUCAUCUACUGCUCUUUAGCAUUAAACCAAUGUAUUCGUUCAGUAUGUUUCUAAUUAACGAUUCUAAUUGGUAAUUAACUAACUAUCUUCCCCAACCUCUGUUAAGGUUUUGAUAUUCUGAUAGAAUCCAUCGUUUCUCGAUGAGUCUUUAAAAGGCAUAAUCAAAUUAUCCUUACGAGAUAGUAUUCGUGAAAAUUUUUGGUUUCUAUUUAUCUUCCUCUUUUUAUCGAAGGUAUUCUUAUUCAUUUUCGCAGCUUUGCAAUACUUGUGCAAAGCGAUCUAUGUAUAAGAUACAAAUGACGAAUUUCCAGUGUGUAUACAGAUGGAUUAAUUUUUUGAAAUUCGUACAAUUCAUUGAAUGAAUCGGAUCAGUUUGAAUGAGUGAAUGAUGAUGAAAAUGAUCAGAUAUGUAUGUGUGAUGAAUGAUUAUUCGUUUUUUUCUUCGGUAAAUUCGUGAUUAAGUAACAUUUGCGCUUAAAUUAAUCAAGUUUUAUUACAUAUUUCUCCCAAUGUAAAGUUUGGAAUUAAUUUUUAAUUCUAAUCGCCAGAAUUUCUCCAUAGAAUUUGGCUAAUCCUUUUUUUUUUCUUUGAUCUAGUUACAAAUGCAACGUAUAUUUCAACAAAGAAAUUCAAAUUUUUUUUUCCAAAGAUAUUGCAUUAUAAAAUGACAACGGUGAUUUUUAAUUUUUUUUUUUUCGCAAUCUUCCUUUCUUUUUUUUGACCCAAAAGAAACACGGAUAUAUUUAAAUACGUAGACUGACCAAAUUUACUUGAGGUGGUGUUUUAACUAAUCCGUUAUUUUUCUUUUUAUUUAAAAGAAGGCAUAGUUUUUUUUUUUUUUAAAUACAUCUUUAGUAUAACUCAUUUUUUUUUCUCUUCGUUUUGUAAGUUAGCUGUAAGGUAAAUUAAAUAAGUUGGCGUAUGUAUAUGCAGAUCUCAAUCGAGUGCAUCCAUGCGUGUGUGUGGCUGUGUGUGCCUGCGUGAGAGGAUAGACAGGAAAAAAUGUGCAAUUUCGAACUUUCAAUUACUUUCUCCAUCGUCUCGUAGUCCAGUAAAACAAAAUUUUUAAUCGUAUCUAUAGCAUCUCUGACAGCUGUGCAUCGCGUUUAAAAUGGUUGACAGGAGUUCUAACGUAAAAUCUAAUAUUCGUUUCGAUAAACAACCGGUUCUCAUCGAACCACCGUCUCGGUUCGUUCUGAUUUUUCUUUCGUGUAAAACGUUGCCGUGCAACGGUUUACUCGAAGACAAAGUUGGAGCAGAAGUAACGAGAGUAAAAAGAAAUAAUUCGUCUUCGUUUCUCUCCCUUUUCGUAAUUCGACUAUUAAAUAUUUUCUCAAGUUUGGUUAGUUUCUUCAGCAUCAGUCUCUCUCGUGAUAAGAAAUUUCAAGUUAAGAACGCUUCGAGAGCUCCACGCUCUCAAUCGAAAUUCUUCUGAUAAACGAAAUCAGUUUCUUUUGUAGCACAUGAGUGGGGUAAUUGAUAAGAGUCAAUCCGUAUGUUCGAUCAAAUUAAAUAGUUUCUGCUCUCGACGGAAGAGGAAUCGUCUGAAUUGUAAAUUGAAAAUUAGGCAGGGUUAAUUUCCGUGCCAAAUUUAAAUUCUCGUUUUUCUGAUUUGAAUCGAGUAUGUUUAUUAUAGAUUCUAAUUGAUCCUUAAUUUUUUUUUUCUAGAAACGAUUUGGCUGAUAAGAAUUUUAGUAUUUGCCCAGUGAUUAAUCUUUAUACAUUCGAGUCUUUUUUUAACUCGGAUCAAAUGAAAUUUUUUCAAAGUGGUAUUAGAAAUUCUCUUGAGAGCUCAUCGGACGCGAGGUUAAAGAUAAAAAAAAAAAAUUCAACACUGCCGUCCUAUGGGAGAUUGAUUGAAUAUUAAAUUUUGAACGGUACGAGGAGAUCGUCUCACAGACGAAUUCUGUAAAUAAAUCGACAGGAGGGAAAUUGUAAUUUUCUGGAGCGUUUGUAAAAAACAGAAAACGAAAAAAGAAAAACGGAUUGUUUCGUGUAUAAAGGAUUUAGUGUACAUAUACGAACGAGGGGACAGACGUGUAUUAUGUAUAUAUGUAUUGUAUACAUAUUGUAAGGGGGGGGGGGAAAUGAUUCUCGGUAUGGCAACGGCGUUUUGUUCCGUUCCGAUCGAGAGCAUCAAACUAGGAUUUCGAUCUUUCAAGUACAGCAAUAUUUCAGCUCGAGUCUCGCAGAGAAGCGAAAAAUAGUCAGUAUGUGUGUGCAAAGAAAAGUAGAACAGACGAAAGGAAAAUACCACCGCGUAUCAAAGGUUGCAAGGGUUGAUCUUUGGGGAUGAGGGAUAGAAAAGGGAGGGUGCUCUUGAAGUGUGUUAAAAAAGAAGGCGUCGCUAGAUGGACGCAUAUGAAAGAGCGUACGAAUUACAAAGUGAAUAAUCAACCAAUCGAUAAUAUUAAUUUUAAAAAUGAUAAGAAAUUAGCUGUGAUGAUGACCCUAUAGGUACUACUAAUUUUUAAUUGGUAACUGAUCAACUUAUAUAUAUAUAUAUAUUAUAUAUUAUAUGUAUAUGAUUAAAAGUUAAGCUGGGGUAUAAUAUAAGAAGUGCAAGUACGAUGAUGACAAGAAAAAAAAAAAAUUAGCUUUCUUUCGGAAUAGAAACGUGAGAGACAACACGAGAGGCAAAGAAAGAUAACACUAGUGUGUUAAUUGGUGUUCUAUCACAGAACAUAAUAGGGGAUGUUUUUCUUUGUCUUAAUUGAGGGGCUCCGGUACCCUGCACUCUCUUCAAGCGUUUACUAUUAAUUAUCCUAAAAUCUAGUAAUUAAGGGAUGUAACGCGCGCGCGAUCGUAGAACACAAACAAAAUGCUCGAUGAUAGCGUUAAUUGAGGAGAAAUGAUGUGGGGGGUGCAAUGUUUCCGCGACAAAAGAAAAACUGAAAAACAAUGUUCUUUUAGGAACUCUAUCGAGUACGUCCAUCUUGUGUGUGUCGUAAUCCACCUUCGUGACUUUAAGAUGAGAACAUAGUUAGUAGUUCUAAUUAUAUAUAUAUGAGCCAACCAGAGAACUUGGGUCGUUUCGAGCGAAAAAAAUAAAUAAUCGGAUCGAGGUCGUGUCGAAUUUUUCUCUUUGAAACGUGCUUCCGGUCGUGCAUCACUCACGUACGUACGCUUCGUUCCGUUUCCGGUUUACACGAAUAUUUUCCGCGAAUCGAAUCUAAAAGUGUAACACCGCAAGCGAAAAGAAGCGAUCUUUUUUUGUUUCUUCUUUUUCAAAAUUAAGGUUGGGUGAAAGAAACGAUCCACGCUCGGCUGGCAAUUAUUGUGAUAUUGUAACGUACAAAAUCGUUCGUCGCGAGUUACACGAAAGAUCGAGUAAUAAUCGAUAAGACAAAAAAUUAAGAUUCUCGUGAAGGCUUCACGGAUGUGUCAUGGUUCAAUUGCGCUAACGAUAAGUGUGUUAAGCCUUGCGUCUGGUUCACAUUAACGCGUAUUUUAUUACUAUAUCUUCGUUAUGAUUCUGAGGAAGAUAAACCUAUAUCGCAAUAACUGAAAUGAAUAUUAAAAACUAGCUUUAAUAUUUUCUAACGAUUUGGCUGUAGAGAAUUUCUUAAACGAAUUAUUUGUAGAAUGUUACUAGUCAACGUUCAGAAAUGAUAUUUCUUUUUUUUUUAGCAAUUCUUGGGGCCAUUAUUAAAUUUAAGUUUCAACGAUACGUUGAAAUAAUUAGUGUAAUCCUGACCGCUAUCCAAAGUUCUUAUCUUUUCCGAGGGCCAUUGGUGACCCAUCGUUAGUCCCAAUAACGCUCGUAAAAUAGGUUCGCAUUGAUGUGAACGCGGCAUUAGGAACUAUUGAUUGCGGUUACUUAACACACGUUGUACACAGAAAUAUGCACACCGUGAUGCAUCCGUCGACGAACAUUGUAUGGUGUACAAAAGCACAUAUAGAGCCAAUAUAUGUGCUGUUGUACGUCGAAACUUCAUCCUACCACGUAUCUUCGUACCUUACAAACAAUUUUCUUUUGCUGGUCUCUUUCGAAAGUGAAUUGUAUAUCGUAUGCUUUAAUGAUUCACCUGUAAAUGUGUAUCGUGUUAAUAACAGACGUUGUUUACCGCGUUACAUGUUUUUGGUUUGUUGAUUUGUUACGUAGAGAGUUGUUCUUCUUUAACGCAGUCGAAUUUUUUUUCUUCAUCGUGUCAGAUGAUGCGUUUUUCUUUUUCCGAAUGCAAGUUAAGUAUUUUGGGAGCUUCCAUGAGAAACAGAAACGGGGAUUAUUCUUACCGUCUUCUGUUGAUCACAUUCAUCGGUGACGCCUGAAAAACUAUUCCUACGGAUUCAUUCGAUCGAAACGUGGAUUGUUUCUUCUUAAAGGCGAAUUCUCAUCGAAUUGGAAGUUCUGUCGCGUUCGAGUAUCUUCGAUUCGUGCACGAUUAUUAAGUAAAUAAUUUAAUCAUUUUUCUUAUCCGAACAACUUUGGUUUCUUUUGUGUUCUUUUUUUCUUCUUUUAAUUUCUUUUUUUUUAAUUAGGUUUAUCAUGGUGUGCUCCUUUUUUUCUUUUAUAAAUCAUUCGCGUAUAUAGUUUUAGGUUAAUGACAUUGGGAAAAAACAGUUUCUUUGUUUCUUUCUUCCGAUUUACUUUAAUUUGAUAUAUAAGUAUUUUUUAGGCGAUUAAGAUAGAAAUUUGGUCAGGUGAAAUUUUUAUGGUACGUUUAAACGUUAUUCGAUCGAGUCUUUUUUUUUUAUUUUUCUUUCGCUUUGUACGUCUUUAAAGGUUCUUCUGAGCGUAAAGAAACGCUAAAGAGCAGAGGAAAAGAGAUCCCAUACGAAUUUUGCAUAUCCUUACUCAAUUCUCGUUAAGGAAAGAAUACCGGCGCUUGUCGAACGUUCUUUUUAAAAUUAAACGAAAAAUCAUAGAAAGUUCAGCGGUGAAAAAAUAAACGAAAGUACAGGCGAACAAAAAUUAGCCGCUCAUCGAAAGAAAAAAAAAAAUGGAACCAAACGUCUUCGAACGACAACGUCAAACAACAAACAAACAAAAAAUCAUCGCGUCGCGUCUCGAAACGGUUUCCCCUCAAAAGUAUUUUUCACGAGGGUACCUCGGGACGCGAUUCGUGUCUCAAUAUAAUAUAUAUCGUGUUUUAUUGAUUUUUCAUGAGAUGCAAAAGAAAAAUGAAAAUCAACAAGCUCAUCGAUUUCAUAAGGAGAGCGCACUGAUCAUUAUACAGGGACACAAAACACAGCCACACGAAACACUAUGUCGAUUAAUUAAUUAAGCCUUAAAUUUAGAAUUAAGUUGAAAGGUCUGAGAGAAGCAGAGAGUAGAGAGAGAAAGGUUCAAAAAAAAAAAAUGGGGAAGGGAAGAAGAAGGAAAGAGAGAAAAAGCUCUGUCUUUUUAGAAACGUGUCAUGGUCUACUAUUACAUGUAUCUCAAUCAGUAUAUUCUUUUUUAAUUAAUGGAAAGAAGCUAGAGCUUAAUUUUAGUCUAAGAAUUAAUAUGAAUUCGGUACGUUCAUUUUACUUUGUUUUAGUUGUGCCUCCUUUUUUUUUUUCUUUGAUUUUCAAUCAUGUGUGUUUUAAGAUUCUAUUUCUUCGUGUUUUAAUUUCGAUUCUUUAACGCGUUCGCUGUGGACGGAAUGAAAUAAGUGAACAUAAUAUUGAUAAGUAAUAUAAUGUGAUCAAGACCGCAGCGAACGCGUUAUGUAUGCGUUUCCUACCGCCGUUCGGGUAGAAUCGGCAAAAUUCGGGGCACACGUUUUGAUCUCAAUCGUUGGCGCGAAACAAUACCUCUUUUUCCUUUUUUUAAAUAAUACCAUGGAUAAAAUCGUGUUGUAUUGUCAUGGGAUCACGCAGAAGGCAAAUUCCAUCAUAUUUUCAAAUCUGUUUUUUCAUUGGCGUCGCUUUGCAUUCGAAUCGAGCGAUUUUCGAAUACGAGGCGACGCUUCUCGAAUUGAAAAAGGUGCAAAAAUAAAAACACGCUGAGUGGUCGCAUGACGCGUAUACAUAUCGAUCGAUCGGCGAAAAUGAAUGAAAAAGACAUUUUCAAAGAGCUAUAGACCAUCGCGGUUAAGUGAAAAUACGAUUUUUACUUACGGUAGCAAGGAGAAGUCGCAUCUCUGAUGACGAGCCUGUCGAUGACAAUAUUUUUUAUCCUUCUUCGUGCUGCUGCUUCGUGAAAGUCCGUCAAAGCCGUACACCAGCGCGAUGCGCGAACGGAUAAUUCAUUUUUCUUUAUAUUUUAUUCCACGACUGAAUUCAAAAUGAAAAACAGAUAGCAAAAAUAUUCUCGUAUCAAAAGGAUAAAAAUGAUGCAAAAAUAAAAUUACGUACGAUUCAUAGAUAAUCCGUAUCGUUCUGAUGUGCGGCUAAAAUUAAAAUUAAGCGUAGGGGAAACGGAUCGGCCGUUAUGGCGGCAAGAAAAACGCACUGACUAUUUUAGCAAAUCGAGAUUCGACCAUGUACCUUGAUAUAUUACCUUGCGAAUGUUUCCAGAAAGUAUGUACGCGUCUGUAAACGAAUGACCGAGAGAGAAAGGAUUAAAAUGAAUGUGCGCGUGCAUGCGAGUGUGCCAAACAAGUAUGCCUGCUGUCCAGCGUGAGAGAUAAAUAUAAAUAUAUAUAUAUAUAUAUAUAUUAAAUAUUAUAUAUACGGAGGAAGAGCCUUUGGCUCUUGAAGAAGAAGAAAAGAAGAAAAAAACGGACGUGUUUUGUCCUGUACACUGGAUAGAAAAGAAUCUUGGAAGGAAAUCCAAGCAGCUUGAAGAGAGAAAAGUUAUUCGAAAAGGACUCGUAAGGAAAAACGCGUCCGUUUUUGGGUUCUCCAUAUCUCGCACGUGCAGAGCGGUUCGCACCAUUGCGAUCAAUACUGAAAAAUAUGUAUACAGUCAGUCGGAAUGGAUGUUUGAGAAUGUGUGGAAGCGAAGAAUUUGUACAGCGAUUGUGCCGUCGCCCGCACGUGCGUGACAAUAAUUUUUUUCCUACGAGUGGUAGCCGGUGUGCGACAUAUAACUUUAAUUUCGUUUCCGUUCUAUUCUUCGUUUCGAGACUCGACGCGGAGAGCAACGUUUGCGGUGAGGAAAUUCAUUUUUUAAGAUAGAAAGUAUUAUUUUUUUAUGACGCUUCUAUGUCGAACCGUCAAUUACUAAAUUACACGUGCUGCCAGACAUGUCCGUUCCAAUUUUAAUUGGCCAGUAAUAAGUAACUAUGGACGCAAUCCUGAAUCGUGUACCUAGUCUCCAUCUUGGCGCUGCGUACGCUUUAUGGAAGCAGUUUAAUAAUAAUUUUCUCUACCAUAUGGAUGGUAUUUGAAUGAUCAAAAUGAAGAAUUUCAAAUGUAAUAGGAUGAUUACUGCUUCUGUAGAAAAUGCAGUGGAAAAGGGGUCUCUACAUCCUCAUUUUCUUUAAGAAAUUCCCUUUUUGCAAGUGGACUGAAAGGUUAGAACCUAGACUGUUACUUGUAUUCAAGGAUUUCUAAACUGUCCUCUAUAGAGGAUCUGAUGUCCAAUAGAAAAGGAGGAUCGAUUGACCUUCAUCUUUUGAUGUGUUCCCAUUUUGGAGGCUAAUCGAUCAGGAUGAAAAAGUUUGAAAUGCUUAGAAAGCAUAAUAUCAAGUACAAAAAUGGUCUAAAACAAAAUGGCCUCUCACGCGCAGAUGUUCCUCCUCCGUACGAGUACUGUCCUACAAAUCGGGUGGCAUUUCUUCUUCGAAUCGUUUCUGUUACUUUCAUUUUUGUAAGCUUAUAUUUUUACACCGAGCAUCGCUGUACAGAGCAUUGUUCUGCGAAACUCUGGUCUGCUUUAAACCGAACGACGAUAGAAGUUAAAGAAAAAAAAGAAAAAAAGCAAAGCGAGGAAGACUCGUGCGCGGUGUGCACCGAAAGGCACUACUUUAGAACGAAGCUUAUACUUUGGAAGCGACAGGUCGCCAUUUUCUUUUCCUUCAUAUCUCGCGCAUUAACGAAGAUCAAAGAUUCUCUGAUUUUCAAAUGUACCACCGAAUUAAUCGCCCGAUACGAUUUCCGUAUCGAGCGGGCACAAAAGCAAAAAGCAUCAAUCAAAGCAAAUAGAAAAAAAAAAAAAUGGUAUUUUAUUAUCGUGUCAGCCCUGUUGCCUUCGCGAGGUAUAGGCUUCACGAGUCCCGAAUAAGGUUAUAUAAAAAACAAAAAAACAGAAGAUGGUCAGAACUUUUGUUCUGUCGCGUUCCCAACGAAAUAAUAGAGGCGACGAGUUUAUCGUAGGCAGUAAAAAUCAUUAGAUACAAUUAAGGAUACACCGAGUCGCGAUCUCUGUGAUGACGGCGAUAUAUACGCUAAUACGUGAAGAUACGAGGGAAACAUGAUAAAUAAAUAGGAGGGAAAAGACGAGACGAUGAAUUGUUUGUCUCGCUAACGACGAUGAGAACCGAGAACGAUGAUUUUUCCCCGUUCGUGUCAGUUCGAUAACUCCGUCGCGGACACGAUGCAAUUUACUGUCAAGUUUUAGGGUACAUAAGAAUAGAGUUAUUUAAUGUAUAUCUAUUAUUGUACGUAAAGAACACACACACACCAGAAGUACGUUUAAGGUUCGACUCCGAAGCUCAUACAUAAGAAAUAUAAUUGUAUUAUAUAUAUUGUACUAAAAGGGUGCCCGUUUCGCGUGGUUAAACACGGUGGGAGGAUCGAUUGGCGAUAAACGAUCUAAAAAUGAACGUAAACGAUUCUUAAACAAUUGUACAUAUGAAAAGAAAUUUCGGAUCGUGCGAAUUCUGUAGAAAGCGGGCAACAGAGAAUAUUUUGUUAUGUUGAAAAUGGAAGAGCGAAGAAAAACGACGGAGGAAGAAGAGAAGAGUUCAUUUUCGGAUAUAUAAAUAUGGCUGCCGCUGCUGCGUAUUUUUGAGCCGUACGUUUCGAGUUGACGAUUUUUAAACAGGAUCCAGUCGAGACAUGGAUCAUUCUGCGGCCUCAGGCUUGGCGAGAUAAUUGAAGGAAGAAGAAUGAAAUGGAAGAAAAGAAGGGUGGCGAAUAGAGAAGAGGAAGAAAUCGAAGGACCACCGUCGGUUACGCGCAAGAACGAGAGAGAUUCCUUUAUCAUUCCGAAAGUUGGUCACAUCCGUUAACUUAUACACACGUAUUAUACCGAGGAAGCAUCGAUAUAAAUACAUUCCGGUCGCAAAUCACGCAUAAUCAUCAUUUUUACUGAGAGAAGAAUGAAUCUCGACUGGACGCAACUCCUGUCGGAUCUUUUUCCAAGGAAAAAAAAAAAAAGAAAAUGGAGGACCAAAACUGAAGAACAAGAGACAAGAUAAUGACGGGAAGAUUAUUACAAAAUGGCGCGCGCGAUCGACGGGGAAAGAGAUCAGUACUGAUUGGCCACCUUUCGACGCGCAUCCCGUUGUUUUCUUGGCAAAACAAUCGUCUCGUGUUUGCGUGUCCCGACGCGAAGAGAACUGUGAAUAAUAAAAAGUAAGGAACCGAAAAGAUAAAAAAAAAAGCAGGAAGUAAAGGUGUGCGGAAAUAAAAGGAGUGUGCACUCUCGUGAUAGAAAGGAAGACUCAAAAUUUUUUCGAUACACGAAUAUACAACUUAUAUGUAUAAUCGUCUACUACGAGGCUCGAUAGAGGUACAAUUAUUUUUUGCCGUUUUUUCUCUUAUCUCGAGAGGAAACGCGUCGACGUUUCCAUUGCGAGGGGCAACAGCUAUUACGGCGCAGCGAUUUUAACGUGAGCGACGAUGGUUCGAAUGAUCGAGGUGAUCCUCCGGAAAGGAAAGGAAAGGGAAACGUGACGAAGAAAAGAGAGCCAGUAAUACUCCGAGAACAAUAUAUAAAGUGAGAGAGAUAUCCAAGUCGUACCUAAAGCGUAAUCGUUUAUAUCGUAAUUUUGGUACUGUUAUUCUAGUAUGUUCACGCGUUUCGAAGCGAUCGACGUGUGUCUGUAUUAGUUGCAGAAGAAGAGGAGAGGUAGAAGAGGUAAUGAAAAUGCGAAGGAAUGGAUACAGAGGUAAACGAAAGAGAUUAAAAUGGCGGCACCGAAAAGGGAGAAAGAAUUCAUUACGAGAAGGGAAUGUAUUGUCUUUCAAGGUCGUCGUUGACGGAAGGGGGUAGCAAGAGAAAAAAUGGAGUCUAAGCGAGACUGAAGUGAAUGUGAGCGGAUUUCUAAAAAAAAAAAAAAACCCACCAGAAAAAAAUGUCUUUUUGAAAACAAAAAGCGCCAAAAAAAAUCAGUGUAUAAAAAUCAGCCGAGAAUGCAUGUGUACGAACGAGAGGGAGGGAGAGAAAGCGAGCGAGCAUGAUUGAAGAUGGAAGAAAAGUUCCACAAAGGGAAGAUGGGAGUUUGACGAAAAACGACGACGAUGAUAUAUAUCCAUAGAAGAAAGAAGAAAAGUGAAUGAAAAGAAGUGAGAAUUGUUCGGUGUGCAAUAAAUUGUCGAGGAAAUUGAGAGAGACGAAUCGAAAGAAGAAUUUCUUGGCUCCUCUUCUGCCUAGAGAUAAGGAUUUGGUGCGAGGAUGAUUUUUAGAAAGCUAAAAGAAGAGAAAUCGUUGAUUCGUGAGAUAUACGUCACGAUUGACUGUAAGGAAUAUUUCAGUCCAGCACAAUACACUCAGGCAUGCACACCGCAUGCAUACAUAUACACACGCGUACAGAUAUCUAAAUCCCGUAUACAUAAUAUACACGCAUGCGUAUGUGAAAAGAAACAGAGGAAAUGCAGAAGAAAAGAAGAAGAAGAAGCGAGAGAGGGGUUUCUAUUUGAACUCGUUUAAUGUUACAAAGACAAAUAACGCGUUUAUGUGAGUCACGUGUGCAAAAUUCAAUCAAAUGAACACUGGACGCACAUAUUCUCAACUACCGUACAUCACAGCAUUAUUACUAACACGUAGAAGUACGAGAACCUUCGGAGAGAUCGUGAAGAAAGAUACGGCACGAAGCGAAGUGAAAGCUGCCACAGGGUGACGACUGAAAAUUUUCAACAGGAAAUCACCGUGUGUCACAUUGGAAAGGAAAGGAAAUUAUGAUACUCGCAUACAUACAUGCACAUCACAUACAACGCAUUGAAGUUUCUUUGAUGUUUAUCCAAAAAACGAGUGGAGCCGUUUCUUGAACCAAAUAUGGAUGAAGAGAACACACAUAGCAAUUGAGAAGAAAAUUUCUAACCUUACCUAGGAUAAUCCCUUUGUUUUAUUAUCCACUUUCUUUUUUCUCAAUCUUAUAAUUUUUCUCCUUUCAUAUCAGUAUGAAGAAACUAGCCAAAAGCACAUGGUAGCUAUGAUGCGUCCGACUUAUUCUCCAUACAAUCUUUAGUCCUAUUCUGGCCUUAAAAAAGAAAAAACAUCCAAACACACUACGCAUAUCCCGUCCACACAUUUUUCUCUUUACUAUCACUUUUUUCUUUAGGGCCCUACCCAGGGCCCGCAAAUGGUUCAUCUAUGGAGUAACAACUUCUGGGAUCCAUGAAAUCUGUCCUUUUCAGGGCAAACGAUCUCUCAAACUGUCUUUUUCAAGACAAGAAUUUGAAACCGUCCUUUUCAGGACGAACAUCUGGAACGCCGGCCGUUCUAGGUCGGGUUUCGAAGAUCCUUUACAGGACGGAAGUUCUGUGAAGCUUGUCCUUUAUAAGGACGCAACGUUGAGGAACAUUUCUCGGAAGAUCUUUUAAAUAAAGCUUUAAUGUUCUGUGUACCUGAACCCUGAAUACCCUCCCUACCAUUCCAUUGUGAUAUUUUAGGACCAAUUUGUUAAUUGUAGUCUCGAUGCAUAUCAAGGUCAAUGUCUUGAGUAAUUUCAAAGUAAUAUAAUUGCAAAGUAAUUUGUUUCUAUCAUGAUUUUGAAAAUAUCGUUGAUAUACAGUUGUAAUGUCAUUUAAAAUUCAGCUGAUUCUCAUACAGGUACAAGAGGAAUUAUAAGUUACCUAUGUAGAUAAUGUAUGUGCUGUUCAGCAUGACUUCAGCAUAUUUAUUAAAAGGUGAAGGAAAUCCACUGUGGAACAUUCAGGAAGAAGUAUGUCACGUUUCGCUAGAAAAACAAGUUUAUCACUGUGUGCUGAGAAUAUCGUCAUCAGUUAUCUUGUCACGCAAUACGAAGGAAGGAAGGAAAUGAAACAGCAUGAGUAGCCUACUUUCACGAGAAUCAUCAACCUCAAAUUACAAAAUUUUCAGAUGACUCAUUGGAAAUUAACUCCACAGUUAGAAUACUCUUAACUUUCAUAGUUGCAACUCUUGUCGGGGUAUAAAAAGAAACUUAAAAUUGCAAGAGUCAAGGAGAAUGAAAGAUUCAGUUUAAAUAUAGCCUUUGUAUGUUCAACCUAUGUAUCUUUUCUUUCAUCAAGUCAUUGCUCUCGAGUCAAGGCUCGAUCACAAAAUGGUGGGGAUGCGUUAAGAUGGAAGACAGUUGACUUUGUAUGCAGUGGAAUAAAAUAUGCUCAUUUAAGAUGCAAUA